rnacentral:rRNA from 1 species
ACUCAAAUGAAUUGACGGGGACCCGCACAAGCAGCGGAGCGUGUGGUUUAAUUCGAUGCAACGCGAAGCACCUUACCAGGGCUUGACAUGCAGUCGCACCGCCCUUUACCGGGCGUGCCCGCAAGGGACGGCUGCACAGGUGCUGCAUGGCUGUCGUCAGCUCGUGCCGUGAGGUGUUGGGUUAAGUCCCCUAACGAGCGCAACCCCUCGGGUUGGUUGUACUUCUCCAGCCCCACUGCCCAUCCGGGAGGAAGGAGGGGAUGACGUCAAGUCAGCACGGCCCUUACGUCCUGGGCGACACACACGCUACAAUGGCUGAGACAAUGGGGUGCCAAGCGGUAACGCGGAGCUAAUCCCACCAAACUCGGUCCCAGUUCAGAUUGGGGGCUGCAACUCGCCCCCAUGAAGUUGGAGUUGCUAGUAACCGCAAGUCAGCACAUUGCGGUGAAUACGUUCCCGGGUCUUGUACACACCGCCCGU